AUGUUCAUCUAUAUUAUGAUACUGAUGUCGUCAACUGAAGGGUCCAGAGCCACAGAAGUCAUCACUCCAAAAAGUGAGAGAGUAUUUGCACUUGAGGGUGACAAUGUGACACUCUCUUGUAACUACAGCAGUUCUGCUCGUGGAGUUCACUGGUAUCGCCAAUACGCAGGCUCACCACCACAGUUCCUUAUACUGGAAUAUUCAGGGGUAACUACUGAAGCUGAUCCCCCCGUUCUAAGAAUAAGUAUCAAUCACAGAAAAGAGCAAAGUCAUGUUGAUCUGGAGAUCUCCUCUGCUGAAGUGUCAGACUCUGCUGUGUAUUACUGUGCUCUGCGGCCCACAGUCACAGGAAACACUGUAACACUGUACAAAAAAGCCUUCAUCACAGCAUCACUGUAG